GACGAACGCUGGCGGCGUGCUUAACACAUGCAAGUCGAGCGGUAAGGCCCUUCGGGCUACACGAGCGGCGAACGGGGGAGUAACACGUGAGUAAUCUGCCCAUCACUUCGGGAUAACUCCGGGAAACCGGUGCUAAUACCGAAUAUGACCACUUCAGGCAUCUGAUGGUGGUGGAAAGGUCCGGCGGUGUUGGAUGAGCUCGCGGCCUAUCAGCUUGUUGGUGGGGUAGGGGCCUACCAAGGCUUCGACGGGUAGCCGGCCUGGGAGGGUGACCGGCCACACUGGUCCUGCGACACGGCCCAGACUCCUACGGGAGGCAGCAGUGGGGAAUAUUGGACAAUGGGCGCAAGCCUGAUCCAGCAACGCCGCGUGAGGGAUGACGGCCUUCGGGUUGUAAACCUCUUUCAGCAGGGACGAAGCGCAAGUGACGGUACCUGCAGAAGAAGCACCGGCCAACUACGUG
rnacentral:rRNA from 1 species